CCCUACGGGAGGCAGCAGUGGGGAAUAUUGCACAAUGGGGGAAACCCUGAUGCAGCGACGCCGCGUGAGCGAUGAAGUAUUUCGGUAUGUAAAGCUCUAUCCGCAGGGAAGAAAAUGACGGUACCUGAGUAAGAAGCCCCGGCUAACUACGUGCCAGCAGCCGCGGUAAUACGUAGGGGGCAAGCGUUAUCCGGAUUUACUGGGGGUAAAGGGAGCGUAGACGGUGAGACAAGUCUGAAGUGAAAGCCCGGGGCUCAACCCCGGGACUGCUUUGGAAACUGCCUGACUGGAGUGCUGGAGAGGCG
rnacentral:rRNA from 1 species